UGCAAGUCGAAGGAUAAAUCAGACUUCGGUCUGAUGGAAACUGGCGCACGGGUGAGUAACGCGUGGGAACAUGCCCAAGGGUACGGAAUAACAGCUGGAAACGGCUGCUAAUACCGUAUGUCCCCUGAGGGGGAAAGAUUUAUCGCCCUUGGAUUGUCCCGCGUCCGAUUAGCUUGUUGGUGAGGUAAUGGCUCACCAAGGCGACGAUCGGUAGCUGGUCUGAGAGGAUGAUCAGCCACACUGGGACUGAGACACGGCCCAGACUCC
rnacentral:rRNA from 2 species